GCCAGCGUGGUGUAUUGGUUUGAAUGUUGGACAAUGACUCUGAAGGACAGGGUUCGAGUCCCGGCUCAGCCA